rnacentral:rRNA from 1 species
AUUGAACGCUGGCGGCAUGCCUUACACAUGCAAGUCGAACGGCAGCACGGGUGCUUGCACCUGGUGGCGAGUGGCGAACGGGUGAGUAAUACAUCGGAACGUACCUUAUCGUGGGGGAUAACGCAGCGAAAGCUGUGCUAAUACCGCAUAGGCCCUGAGGGGGAAAGCGGGGGAUCGAAAGACCUCGCGCGAUUAGAGCGGCCGAUGCCUGAUUAGCUUGUUGGUGGGGUAAAAGCCCACCAAGGCGACGAUCAGUAGCUGGUCUGAGAGGACGAUCAGCCACACGGGGACUGAGACACGGCCCAGACUCCUACGGGAGGCAGCAGUGGGGAAUUUUGGACAAUGGGGGCAACCCUGAUCCAGCAAUGCCGCGUGAGUGAAGAAGGCCUUCGGGUUGUAAAGCUCUUUUGUCAGGGAAGAAACACCGGCUCUAACACAGUCCGGGAAUGACGGUACCUGAAGAAUAAGCACCGGCUAACUACGUGCCAGCAGCCGCGGUAA